UACGUAGGGUGCAAGCGUUGUCCGGAAUUAUUGGGCGUAAAGAGCUCGUAGGCGGUCUGUCGCGUCGGCUGUGAAAACUCGGGGCUCAACUCCGAGCUUGCAGUCGAUACGGGCAGGCUAGAGUUCGGCAGGGGAGACUGGAAUUCCUGGUGUAGCGGUGAAAUGCGUAGAUAUCGGGAGGAACAUCUGUGGCGAAAGCGGCGCACUGGACCACAACUGACGCUGAGGCGCGAAAGCUAGGGGAGCAAACAGG
rnacentral:rRNA from 1 species